UACGUAGGGGGCAAGCGUUGUCCGGAUUUAUUGGGCGUAAAGAGCGUGUAGGCGGCCAGGUAGGUCCGUUGUGAAAACUCGAGGCUCAACCUCGAGACGUCGGCGGAAACCCUCUGGCUAGAGUCCGGAAGAGGAGAAUGGAAUUCCCGGUGUAGCGGUGAAAUGCGCAGAUAUCGGGAAGAACACCCGUGGCGAAGGCGGCUCUCUGGGACGGUACUGACGCUGAGACGCGAAAGCGUGGGGAGCGAACAGG
rnacentral:rRNA from 1 species